GGAGUUGUCGCAUAGCCCGGUCGAGUGCGCCCGCCUGCUAAGUGGGUAGGGAGGUUAAAUCUCCCUCGAGGGUUCAAAUCCCUCCAACUCCGCCA
rnacentral:tRNA from 1 species